GGCUGGAAUACACAAGCGGUCAGCUGAGAAAUUACUCGUCUUCCGACAGGGAUAUAUCAUUGGCUGGUUAGCUACACGGGGUUAGAGGCAGUGGAAAUGGAGAUGUUUGUGUAAAAACGACCCCAACGAAGAGACGGUUAUCGUUGGGGUCCAUUGUAUAACGUUGUUGACGAAGAAG
rnacentral:lncRNA from 1 species